rnacentral:lncRNA from 1 species
UCUCCCUUUACCCCUCUCCCCAACUCGGGCACCCACUCUUCUCUCUCUAAAAUAAAUAAAUAAAAUAUUUUUUAAAAAGACAGGCCAAAAAGGAUGUGCUACCCACCCCCCCAGUCUUCCUCAUGGUGUCGGUGAUAAUUUAUGUAAUAUCCCCAAGGAAAAGUUUAAUGUCAGAACAAGAGUCUUAGUAACAACAUUUGGCAGUCUCCUCCCUCUAUGGAGAUUCUCCUUUUAAUGUCACCUUUGGCAGAUCAGGAUUCACAUUUAAGAGACCCAGUGGAUUUCCUGACAACUUCUUCCACAAUUUUCUCAUCUCAGGCCCAUGGUUCCAUUUUGGUCACCAUGGCCACAGUGACUGAGACGGCCCACUACAUCCUUUGCAAAGGACAGCCUUCAGCUUCAGACUCCAAGCUAACUGCUUGUAGAAAAAUAAUCAGGACCAGCUUCCUCGGCAGAUAUAGGGAGAUACAGAUCUUCCUGGACUUAUGAUGAGGUUACAUCCCAAUAAACCUAUUGUAAGUUGAAAAUAUCGUAAAUAA